CAGCCGGACAACGCCCCCUUUUUCAGGAUACUCCAUUCCAUCCCCCUAUACGAAGGGUUGCCAGUCCAGUGCCUAUUACCACCAUUGGGCCCACAAGGUGUCCCGGACUCUCAGAUUUAACUGGAAAACAAAAAAUAUCCAUAAUCAUGAGCAGUAGAACAUACCCUCAGAAUGGCAAUGGUGUUCACCUGAGAGGUGCCGGAGCUGAGCUCCGGUGAGCUCCAGCAGAAGAAAAGCCCUGGCUAUAAGCUACUCUGAGGGCCUCAUAUGCAUCAGAAAAAUUGAAUGCAAUCACCAUAAAUAAAUAAAAUUAAGUUGCAUUGA